AGAGUUUGAUUAUGGCUCAGGAUGAACGUUGGCGGCGUGCUUAAGACAUGCAAGUCGAGUGGGUUCAGACCCACGGCGAACGGGUGAGUAAUCUUCAAGAACAUCACUUUAGUUGAGGAUAUCCAGCCGAAAGGUUGUGCAAUACUCAAUGUGAAGGAAACUUCAAAGUAGUAAUACGCUAGAGGAAUGGCUUGAAGGCCAUCAGCUAGUUGGUAGGGUAAUGGCCUACCAAGGCGAUGACGGCUAGGGGGCCCGAGAGGGUGUACCCCCACACUGGGACUGCGACACGGCCCAGACUCCUACGGGAGGCAGCAGUUCGGAAUAUUCCGCAAUGGGCGAAAGCCUGACGGAGCGACGCCGCGUGCACGAAGACGGCCUUCGGGUUGUAAAGUGCUUUUAGCAGGGAACAAUUUUGAGCGUACCUGCAGAAUAAGAGGUUGCUAACUCUGUGCCAGCAGCAGCGGUAAUACAGAGACCUCAAACGUUAUCCGGAAUCAUUGGGCGUAAAGCGUACCGACAGGUGGUUUUGUAAGUCGAAAGUUAAAGCCUGGGGCUCACCCCCAGAAUCGCUUUUGAAACUACAAGACUAGAGGGGCAAAGAGGAAGCUGGAACAAACGGUGUAGCAGUGAAAUGCGUUGAUAUCGUUUGGAACACCAAAAGCGAAGGCGGGCUUCUGGGUGCCACCUGACACUGCUAGGACGAAAGCGUGGGGAGCGAAUGGGAUUAGAUACCCCAGUAGUCCACGCUGUAAACGAUGCGCACUCGGCGCUAGGGAGUAUCGACCCUCCUUGGUGCCAAAGCUAACGCGGUAAGUGCGCCGCCUGGGGACUACGGCCGCAAGGCUAAAACUCAAAGGAAUUGACGGGGACCCGCACAAGCGGUGGAGCAUGUGGUUUAAUUCGACGCUAAGCGAGGAACCUUACCAAGAUUUGACAUGCAGCUGCAUACGUCAGAAAUGACGUAGCCUUCGAGGGUGCUG
rnacentral:rRNA from 1 species